CAUACCAAAAACCAUGACACAAAGUAAGGAACAUAACAUGUUGCACUGUUUCAGGAAAAAGGAAGUGGAAAACUUCAGAUAUGACCAUCACCAACACAGGAAGGAGGAAGUGUAAAAGAUCACAGGUGGUCACCACCAAAAUGGAGGCAAGUCCUCAAGAGGUAAGUCCUUUCUUGCUAAAGAAAAUGGGUACUUGGUUUCUUUUCUGUCCCACUGGCCUUUUCAAAUCAAUCACAGAAGACAGCUAUCAUGGUUAAACUUUGCUGUUUUGCAGACUGAAAGGCAAUUUUCCAGUUUACAAGGAACUGCCAUUUAUCUGUUCUCUCAAGAGAAAAAGAAAUACUUCUCCAUAGGAGUGUGCGAACCAGCUCAGCUCAAAAGCUUCAGCUCGAGCCGGAUAGGGCUGGUCCAAGUUUGAGCAGAGCUGAGUCCAGUUUGAACCAAGCUGGCCCAAGGUACCUUGAAAGCUCAAACUGCCAUUUCAUGCAGGGCAAGUUGUGGUGGCCAUUUUGUGACACUAUGUGUCACUCUCAGAGAUUGGCUGUGCUGCCACUGCCCUGAUUGGCCAGACGUGUCUUGCCCUUUGGUUGGCUUGCCAAUUGUGCCACUCAGUGGCAACUGUCACCCCAUUGGCCAAGGUGGAGGGACAAGGGUGGGUGCAGAAUAGGAAGGUGGUUCAAAUUGCAUUUAAAGGCCACCCUAUAGUCUCGCAAAGCCAUUUUUUCUUGAGAUUCUGAUUGGAGAGAGCUGGCUGUUGCUUCUGUUGUUUCUUCUGUUGUUGUUGUUGUUGCCGCUACCACUGCUGCCACCUGGAUGCUAUUGCUGUGUUGGAGUCUUUGGUCUUCGCAGAGGUUUGCUGUGCCUGCCUGUGUGCCGUUGCUUUUGGCUUUACUGCCUUUUUGCCUGAUUGAUUGAUUGAUUGGUCUGGUCAGAUUUUUUCUUUCCUCCCAGGGCUGGGCUGUUUCUUGCUUUUUAAAAGCAGUGUGCCAGACUUCCUGACUCCUGCUGUGAGUGUGCCCACUUUUCCCUUUAUCCCCCACCUCCACCCGGCCUGGUUUAAUUUGAAAGUUAAAGCUGUGCCUGGCUCUCCUGCUGCCAGAGAGUGCCCAACCACCACAUCAUAGUCAGAGAGAGGCCUUUUCUCUGUGAUUUACAUUUUCCUUGAUUUAUCUCUCUCUUUAAUUUGCAUUGGUUAUUUUCUGGUUUUUGUUUGGGCUUGCUGGCCCUGCCACAUCUGCCCUCCUAUGAAUGAGUGGGUGCUGCUCUGCUCUGCUACUUGGACCAGCAGCCCCUGGCUGGCCUCCUAUCCUAUCCAGCUGGACUUCUGGACAAUGGAGGGAUAUCCCCAACAGACAGAAGCAUGUGAUGAUGAUGAUUCCCUGGGAUGCUAUGUGGUAGAAGCAAGAGUGAACGUUGAAAGCUCAUAUUCAAGAAAUCCUUCCUUUCUAAAAAUAAAUACAUUGUAACCAAGAACAGACAACUUUAAUUAUACCUUAGAGGAUCCACGGAGCCU